AUAGAACGCUGGCGGCAGGCUUAACACAUGCAAGUCGAGCGGGGGAAGGUAGCUUGCUACCGGACCUAGCGGCGGACGGGUGAGUAAUGCUUAGGAAUCUGCCUAUUAGUGGGGGACAACAUCUCGAAAGGGAUGCUAAUACCGCAUACGUCCUACGGGAGAAAGCAGGGGAUCUUCGGACCUUGCGCUAAUAGAUGAGCCUAAGUCGGAUUAGCUAGUUGGUGGGGUAAAGGCCUACCAAGGCGACGAUCUGUAGCGGGUCUGAGAGGAUGAUCCGCCACACUGGGACUGCGACACGGCACAGACUCCUACGGGAGGCAGCAGUGGGGAAUAUUGGACAAUGGGGGGAACCCUGAUCCAGCCAUGCCGCGUGUGUGAAGAAGGCCUUAUGGUUGUAAAGCACUUUAAGCGAGGAGGAGGCUACUUUAGUUAAUACCUAGAGAUAGUGGACGUUACUCGCAGAAUAAGCACCGGCUAACUCUGUGCCAGCCGUCGCCGUAAUAC
rnacentral:rRNA from 1 species